CAAAAAAAGACUCUAGUGAGCUGUUGUAUCUGAUAGACUAUUUUUUGUGUCCCACCAGGAGUGAAAUCAUUACUCGAUACAGAAAAGAAAAUAAACUAGUCCACACUCACGAGACACCUGGCUCCCAGCCAGGCAAAGGAGAAAAUAAGGACAGAAAAUCUCUUAGCUGCGUGGUGGAUUGGAGCUGAUGUAUCCUGCUCUCACUGUGGUGUAGAAAGCAGUCUAUUACAGUGCUGGAUUAAUCAAAGAGGCCUUUAUGGUUCGUGAAAGAAUAUCUAUGUGCUUAGACAGGAAACUUUUUGAUCCACUGAAAAGCCAGACGACAUCUAGGACCAGACAGGACAAUUUUAGACUCACACUUAUUGUGAUAUCCUCAGUGGUAAGUACCUUAACUGCAAUCAAGUUUACUGCAUUUUUUUUGUUGAGGAAAGGCCUCUUUUAAGAUCACAGUUGCUGCAGCUUAAUCACAUACCUUUGUAUGUAGUUCUUGAAUAAUAGGAUAGUAAUGUGAUAUACUGUAUAAUGCAAAUCAGAGCAAAGCACAAGUGGUUGCUAGCAUUUGUG
rnacentral:lncRNA from 1 species